AACGAACGCUGGCGGCAUGCCUAACACAUGCAAGUCGAACGACACCUCCGUGUCUAGUUGCGCACGGGUGCGUAACGCGUGGGAACCUGCCCUUAUGUUCGGAAUACCUCCCUUAAGGGGGUGCUAAUACCGGAAAAUGUCCUCGGACCAAAGAUAUAUCGCCUUGGGAUGGGCCCGCGUUGGUUUAGCCAGUUGGGAGUGUAAAAGCCGACCAAGGCGACGAUCGUUAGCUGGGAGGAGAGGAAGAGCAGCGACUCUGGGGCUGAGGCACGGCGGAGAAUCUUACGCGAUGGGGGAGAGGGUGAUAUAGGCAGAUGGGGGAGAGGCUGAUGCAGCUAGGCCGGGUAAGUGCUGAAGGUGUUAGGGUAGUGAAGCUGUUUUACACGGGGCGAUACUGACGGUACCGGGAGAAUAAGCACCGGCUAACUCCGUG
rnacentral:rRNA from 1 species